UACGGAGGGUGCAAGCGUUAUCCGGAUUCACUGGGUUUAAAGGGUGCGUAGGUGGCUAUUUAAGUCAGUGGUGAAAGCCCGCGGCUCAACCGUGGAAUUGCCAUUGAAACUGAAUAGCUUGAGUAUAGUUGAAGUGGGCGGAAUAUAUCAUGUAGCGGUGAAAUGCUUAGAUAUGAUAUAGAACACCGAUUGCGAAGGCAGCUUACUAAGCUGUAACUGACACUGAGGCACGAAAGCGUGGGUAGCGAACAGG
rnacentral:rRNA from 1 species